CCCCAGCCCUGAUGGAAGGGAAAAUCCUUUUUAUCUCGUCUUUUUCGACGAGAUAAAAAGAUUGGAAUGACAGCAGGAAAUAGC
rnacentral:sRNA from 1 species